CGCACCACAUGCCUGAGAGUGUUGUCCACAGAUGCUGAAAAACGUCCCUGCAGCCCACUUCUUUCCAGCCUUAAGUAGAGAAGUUUGUGAAUCCCCAGACUGUCAUUUAACAAAAGGGUAGACAUGACCCAAACCUUAACAAUGAAGAGAAGACAGGCCUGAGCUCCUCAUUUCUCACUGUGUGCUCUCCGGGGAGAACUGAGGGUGAGCUGCAACACUGAACAGGACAUGUGAGGAUUUGGGGUCUGCAAUGGGUUGAGGUAAUCAAAUGCAAUAACUCACCUGUUCUCUCUGGUUUUGCACAUCUGUGAAGGGAUGAAGAGGAAAUAACUUCACCACAACGCACAGGGAUCUGUGAAAUUCACUCCUGUAGGAUACUUGGAGAGCAAAGAAAUCUGUUCAUAGAGCAAGAGAUGCUCUCAAAACAUCAGGUCUCCUAGAAAUCUGCCUUUGGGGAGACAUGUACCCUUCCUUCCAUCCUGCCAACACAAUCAAAGCAUGUAAUCCACAGGGAGAACAGUCCAUACUCUUAAAACAACACAUAUAAGGACACCUUUUUUUUGUGACUGUCCUCCCUGCUCCCCAUGGAGGGGCCUUACUGGGACCACCCUGCCCAGCCCUAGGGCUGUAUGAUUUAUUUAUGACACAGAAAGACUUAGAACAGAGAUCCCUGCCCUGUUUUGCUUGAAACUGUGCAGAAAUGAUGAAAAGGCCUCAGUUCAUCCCAAACUGGCAACCUCUGUCCCAUCACAACAUGGUGUGAUGACUCCUGAAGUUACUCAGAGCAUCACCGGGACCUUCCAGUGUCAUUCCCAGAGGAAAGAGAAGCAGAUAGGAAUAGCAAAAGCAGGGAUUAGAAGGCCCAACAGCUUCUGGGACACACCAUCCCCAGACCAUCUUGAUGGUGCUGUAAGGCCAACCCACCCAUGAGAGCGUUUGGGGAGGUGCUGGGUGGGUUUUAUGACAAACACUGGCUUUGCUGUCCAAAAACACAACCAAGAGACAGCUAUCAUUCUCUUCCCUGCUCUGUGGCCUUUGUCCAUGGUCUGUUUUCUGUCUGGGUUUUGGAGAUCGAAAAGCUUGAGUUGGAUCCAGCUGUAAUUUUCCACUUCCCUCUGUCACCACCACCCCCCCAGCAAACUCAAUAGAGAUAAACUCUCUAUCCUUACAAACACUUUGAAUUUAGAACACACUUAUUGCACAGAAAAUGCCUCUUGUUGUCAGAGGCAACACUGGUCAAGAGCAAAAAAUGGGGUGGGAAUUUCCAUGGAUAAAUGCAAAACCCCUGGGAAUCUGCAAAGAGGUUUUGGGAGAAGGAUUAAGCUGCUUCGGGGGCCUAAAUGGGUCUCAGACUACAAAGUACAUGAGGGAGACAUGAAAGAGAGAGAAAAACAUUUUCUAUCUGCCCAAUUUUUCCACCUUCUUUUGAAGCACCUCAUACAGAUGGAAAUAGUCUGUUUGGGCUGGGAACUGUUCAGAGUUGGUUUAGGUUUGUUAACUCCGUCCUCCCACCUCCCACUUUGGAAAGGUAGGAUUGUGGUGCCACUGGAAUAAUAUAUCUGUCCCUAAAAUCUGCUGGAAGCACAAUUCCAAUGCAGAGAAACUGAGUUCAGUUUGUUGGAGGAGCCCCCUCCUUCCAGGGGCAAUCCCAGCCAUUGGAGAUUUAAAUGAGGAUGGCAAGGAAAAAAAAAGGGAAUGCCUGGGAUUCCCAGAGGAUGUGUUUGAAGAGGAUAACUGCAAAGGAGGACAGCUUGUAAGUAAUCAGUUUACUUCCCCUCCAGCAACAGAUACCACUGUGUUUACAUCUAUAGCACCUUGCAUUGUGUCUGGUUAAAGAUCUGCUUAAACAUUUCAAAUUUCCAGCCAGUCACAUCCUUCUGCUGAAGGGUAACAUGGAAUAAGUCAGCUUUACACAGGACUUGAAGAGGAUUUUCCCAUUCCCCCCUCUCACAUGGCUGCUGGCUUGUCAUUUCCACCUCACUUUUGUUGUUGUUGUUGUUGUUGUCAUCAAAUUUUUAUACAUAUUUCUAAUGACUUUUGACUCCUGUUACCAGCUGUGGUUUCUGCUGGCAGGAGCUGCUCAGGAGUGUUAAUGUUCACAUCAUCACAUGUCAAACCCAGCAAUCCUAAGGGCAAGGGAGGAAAGUUCUGUUCCUCCUCACAUGGGUUGUAUCUAUUAAGUGAAGGAAUUUUCUGUGUUCAAGGAGUGUCCUGUCUCAAAGUCCUCCAUUCUUGGACAACUUGCAAAGAGGCUUCUCCUAAAAUGGGAAUUUAGCAUUAAGCCCAUUUUCUAGACUUGUAAAGUGAGGCAGGGCAGCAGUUCCAGCUUCCCAAGUGACAGCACGGAAAACCCUAACUCCAGCCCCCUCCCUUAACCAGCCUGCUUUGCACACCAGGCUCAGGGGACAACUUCAUGGAGCCCAAAAGAAGAGUCCUAAUGAGGGGAACAAGCACCAGCACACACAGUCAUGGUCAGUGACAGUGGAUGGAGCUUGGAUGAGUGACUGCAAUGUUGUUGAAGAAGCCACUCACCAGAGUUCCAAAGCUCUGGGAUCAUCAAGGGGAGAGGAUAGAACCCACCCCUGAAAGCAUUUGUGGUGCUGGCUCUGGCAGCAGGAAGGAGUGAUGGAGCCCCAAGCCUAAAUGUUCACAGUUCUUCUCUUUUUCCAGAGCUUUGAACUGAUCCUGAGCUUUUCUCUUUCCUCAUUCCCUGACUAGGAACAGAAUUGGUGGGGAGAUGUUCAUGGCAUCCUUCUGCUGCCUUCCCAUUCCACGGUGACCACCUACAGCCACUGUGGCUCCAGCUUCCUUUACCUCUUCCCCCCAUCUCUUCCAUGUGUCUACUCCCUGACACACACACUCCUGUGGGGAUCACAGGAGCUUUACACAUCACUUCUGGCCAGACUAUGGAGGGAGAGGGAUUCCUCCUCCUGUGGCAAGCCCAAAAGCUGGUGAAGAUCCAGGAACCAGAGGCUGAGGACCGAGAGUGUGAAGGUUUUAAAGUUAGAGGCAUUUAAGUUGGAUCACUGAAGAAGCCAAUUUCCCAUCUGGAAUGGCUGGAAUUCCUUUGUGCUGCUCUUCAGGUGCUUUCCUGCCGACCUGCAAUCCCUCUCCAUGCUCUGAGCAUCUCUUGCUGACCCUGGCACCAAACCAGUAGGAGUGGGAUGGACUGGGAUUCCCCUCCCCCGGGAACUUCACCUUCCCACAACAGCUGUUGGAAUUUUGGAGCCACUUGUUUAAAGUCUCUGUCAGAACAAAAGGUUUCUCUGUCACUGUAAAGCAGCUUCAUUUGCAGGACUCUCCCGGCCAAUGUGCUUCCCGAGCAGAGCCAUAGAUGGCAGUACGUGGUAUUUACAGAGUUGUUUCCCCGAGUAAAUCUUCUUAUUUUAGCAGAAAGCGAGAGAAUUUCAUUUCCUUGUAGUUACAACGCGCUCAGAAUGCGAAUCCUGAAUCAGUGGAGGAAGCAAGAAAAGCCUCCUUGCCUGAGCACUGGCAGACAGAGCUUGAAAUGCAAAAUCCCUCUGUGUUGUAUAGGAUUGUCUACCCCCUUUCACAGGGAUGAUACCUGGAGAGUUGAACAAGAAAACAAUUUUCCAUACUGGAAGAAGAAGCUGAAGAUACCUCAAGUGACUGUCACAAAAGCCUGAAAUGAGCUCAAAAUUCCGGGAUCACUUUCACAAAGCAGCAGCUGGGCACGUGAAUGGGAGUUUAGUUCAGGCCAGUCAAAACAUUUUGAUUUCAGUACAUAUUCUCCCUUUUCUAUUGCUUUAGUAUCACUAGGUUAGCUUUAAAAAUUCAAAAUAAUAUUUAAGCAAUAAUGUUUGGGAUAUUUUUUUUUUCCUUCUUUUCUCCUUCUUAUAGAAAAACACUUCCACACACUGAUGUCUAAUAUCAGUGAACUGAUACUUCUGCCCAAAGACAAAGCUAAGAACCCUAUGGAACAAAUAUGUAACUGAUAGCAAGUUUCAUUCACUUUCUGAUGGGUAUUUGGUUUAUCAGAGCAACACAGUGAAGGGACUUUAUCAGUCAAAGCUUUUUAUUAAUUGAAACUUUUUAAUAACUGAAGUUCUGGUGCUGCAUCAGAUUAGCUGAUGCUCCUGGCCAGAGCUGGGGCAAACUCACGUCUUCUCCCCUCUUGCAGCAGAAGAAAUGACUCUUACACCUGAAGUUAAAUAAAAACACUUUGUAAUGGAGAAAAAAAAAAAAGAAAAAAA